UACGUAGGGUGCAAGCGUUGUCCGGAAUUAUUGGGCGUAAAGAGCUCGUAGGCGGCUUGUUGCGUCGACCGUGAAAACCCGGGGCUCAACUUCGGGCUUGCGGUCGAUACGGGCGGGCUAGAGUUCGGUAGGGGAGACUGGAAUUCCUGGUGUAGCGGUGAAAUGCGCAGAUAUCAGGAGGAACACCGGUGGCGAAGGCGGGUCUCUGGGACGGUACUGACGCUGAGACGCGAAAGCGUGGGGAGCAAACAGG
rnacentral:rRNA from 1 species